AUGACAGCAAUAAACUGAUGUCAGUACAGCAUACAGACCAGUAAUCCUGAAGUUCGAGGUCAAUCACGACAUCCAAUAAAGAAUAGACAGUGUUUUAUUUCGUUUGGUUACCGGUGAGCAGCGGCGACAAAGCGCGCCAGCGUUCACCCGACCGGAAGGGGUGACUUUUGACUCAAAUAUGACGCCAUCCACGGUGAACAUACUUUAAAUGAUGAUAUAGUGUGGAUGGCCUUUUUCACCUUUUUUCAUAGGACAUCAUGUUGGUGAAAGUAAGAUUUGGAGAAACGCAUAAGUAUGUCAAAGUGGCUGAGACUGAAGAUGGCUAUGAUGACUUCAACACAUUUCAUCAGAAAGUUGUGCUUCUACAUGUAUUCGUGUCAGGAGACUCCUUGCCAGUAUCUUCUGAUUCAUCAGAUGUAACAGUGAUUGUUCAGACAAAUGGAGGGAAGAGAAACCAAGUUGAAUGGAAAUCUGCAAAAGAGAUGGUGAGAGAUGCUCUCCUGGCCAAACCGGGUGGACAGAUUAUUUUGGAUGAAUAUGAUA